GACGAACGCUGGCGGCGUGCUUAACACAUGCAAGUCGAGCGAUGAAGUUCCUUCGGGAAUGGAUUAGCGGCGGACGGGUGAGUAACACGUGGGUAACCUGCCUCAUAGAGGGGAAUAGCCUUCCGAAAGGAAGAUUAAUACCGCAUAAGAUUGUAGUUUCGCAUGAAACAGCAAUUAAAGGAGCAAUCCGCUAUGAGAUGGACCCGCGUCGCAUUAGCUAGUUGGUGAGGUAACGGCUCACCAAGGCGACGAUGCGUAGCCGACCUGAGAGGGUGAUCGGCCACAUUGGGACUGAGACACGGCCCAGACUCCUACGGGAGGCAGCAGUGGGGAAUAUUGCACAAUGGGGGAAACCCUGAUGCAGCAACGCCGCGUGAGUGAUGACGGUCUUCGGAUUGUAAAACUCUGUCUUCAGGGACGAUAAUGACGGUACCUGAGGAGGAAGCCACGGCUAACUACGUGCCAGCCGCCGCCGUAAUAC
rnacentral:rRNA from 1 species